GACGAACGCUGGCGGCGUGCCUAAUACAUGCAAGUAGAACGCUGAAGGAGGAGCUUGCUUCUCUGGAUGAGUUGCGAACGGGUGAGUAACGCGUAGGUAACCUGCCUGGUAGCGGGGGAUAACUAUUGGAAACGAUAGCUAAUACCGCAUAAUAGUAGAUGUUGCAUGACAUUUGCUUAAAAGGUGCAAUUGCAUCACUACCAGAUGGACCUGCGUUGUAUUAGCUAGUUGGUGGGGUACGGCUCACCAAGGCGACGAUACAUAGCCGACCUGAGAGGGUGAUCGGCCACACUGGGACUGAGACACGGCCCAGACUCCUACGGGAGGCAGCAGUAGGGAAUCUUCGGCAAUGGACGGAAGUCUGACCGAGCAACGCCGCGUGAGUGAAGAAGGUUUUCGGAUCGUAAAGCUCUGUUGUAAGAGAAGAACGAGUGUGAGAGUGGAAAGUUCACACUGUGACGGUAUCUUACCAGAAAGGGACGGCUAACUACGUG
rnacentral:rRNA from 1 species